GACGAACGCUGGCGGCGUGCUUAACACAUGCAAGUCGAGCGACGCUCUUCCUUCGGGGAGAUGACGGAGCGGCGAACGGGUGAGUAACGCGUGGGCAACCUGCCCCUAGCUCUGGGACAACACCGGGAAACCGGUGCUAAUACCGGAUACGACAUCGAGCGGCAUCUCUCGAUGUGGAAAGUUUUUUCGGCUAGGGAUGGGCCCGCGGCCUAUCAGCUUGUUGGUGGGGUAAUGGCCCACCAAGGCGACGACGGGUAGCCGGCCUGAGAGGGCGACCGGCCACACUGGGACUGAGACACGGCCCAGACUCCUACGGGAGGCAGCAGUGGGGAAUAUUGCGCAAUGGGCGAAAGCCUGACGCAGCGACGCCGCGUGAGGGAUGACGGCCUUCGGGUUGUAAACCUCUUUCAGCAGGGACGAAUUCAGACGGUACCUGCAGAAGAAGCACCGGCCAACUACGUG
rnacentral:rRNA from 1 species